rnacentral:lncRNA from 1 species
GUUUAGGUUGGAUAUGAGGAGGAAGUUUUUCCCCCAGAGGGUGGUGACGCACUGAACAGGUUGCCCAAGGAGGCUGUGGGUGCCCCAUCCCUGCAGGCAUUCAAGGCCAGGCUGGAUGUGGCUCUGGGCAGCCUGGGCUGCUGGUUGGCGACCCUGCACAUAGCAGGGGGUUGGAACUGGAUGAGCAUUGUGGUCCUUUGCAACCCAGGCCGUUCUAUCAUUCUAUG